ACUGCACUGUAUGUAGACAGUCUUAUGUCUCAUUUGUGUAUAAACACGAGCAGAAGGCAGAGUAUAUUGUACCUGGCUUUGAUAAAUUCCAUUCUAAUUUAACAGUGUUGAAAACAACAUGAAGUUAUUAUUUUAUUAAUUUCUAGUCCAACUAAUAAGAAACAAAUCUUAUUCCUAGAACCCAUGUUAUUUUAUUACCACAAUAGUAUUUUAAAAACUUUCCUCUGAAACAUUAAAUCAAAAUUGAACCCUCUAUUGACACAUUAGUUUUUCAUUUCAGUUCAGUUUUAAAUUCCAAACUACAGCAGGUUUUGACAUAAAUCCAUUCCUCUAUGUGAGUAUUUAUUGAACACAUUAGUUGCUUUUUACAAGCAUGUGUCAAGAUAUACACAUAUGAACAAAUACAGAAAUAUAGACUGAAAUCAAAAUUAAAAUAAGGUAAAUAAAAACACUGGGAAGAAAAUGGAAUAACCACAUAUUCAGCACUGCAGUUAUAGAAAUAUUAAGAGGUGUUUCCCACAUCCAACCCCAUUUUCAGAGCUGAGAUACAACUGCCCCAUUGAAAAUUCUUCUUCAUAAAGAAUAGCAGGUUUCCUUUCAGGAUUGUGUAAUAUGUUGAGUAAUGAUGGCAACAUACUUUGACCAGUAAUGCUGAUAAAACUUAUUUGGAAGUUAAGCUGAUUCGAGUUCCAUGAAAACAAGAUCCAUUAUCUUAUUAGAAAUAGGAUGUCAAGGAGACUAUAAUAAGCAUAGCUACCAUGUAACAUCUAUGCUACAUGUGGAGAAAUACACAUUGUGGGAAUAUGAUCUAUCUCUACAUAUUUCUUAUCCUCCUACUGAGAAACUAUCCUCUUUUCUUGGCAAACCAAAAGUUCUACCAGGAGAUACAAUGUGUGAUUCACAUCAUCUGACCAUGCAUGAAAAGUAGUUUCUCAUAUGCUGUAAAGGCAGCUGACUUUUAAUAUGGAAACUUUUCUUUCACCUUGUAUGUCAACAGUCUUUGUUUUCAUGAAAUUCAUCAUUAUGGUGCCUCAUUUUGAGGAUUCAUUAUUCUUAUUCACUUGAAAAAGCAAUUUUCUUUGAUGCUGCAUAUUAUUUAUCCACGAAAGAAAACAACUAUUUUGGUAAGCAGGUAGUUUUCCAAGAAACUGGGCAUGAGGGAUUCAUUUACAUUAGCAAAAAAACAAAUCUACUUUUGAAAGAGAAAUAAUGAUAACUUUACAUAAGUUUCUCAAAGCAAUGCUGCUAAGUUUAGAUCUGGUGUCAGGGUACAUUCUGAAGAUUUCAAAUUUCAGAAGCUUUCAAAACCAGGACUUUCAUUUUAUCAUUAAGGGUCUUCAAGUUCUACUCAAAACACAGUUAAUUACAUCUUUUGUUUGUCAGCCAAUGUCACCAUACAGAUGAGUCAUCACAGUACGUGGUCUCCACCAGAGAGUAGAGAUCAGUGCACAGAGCUUGCCAGUGCAAAUUGUAGUGAGCUGACAGUUUUUGGAAAAACACUUUUUAGGGAGGAACUUUUUUGUUGGUAAAAGUUCAAAUGUUUUAUACAGGCACAUAUUUACUAAAGUUCCUCUAAACUCUAUUGCAGGCUUUCAACUCCUCUGCCAUUGGGAUACCAGUGUCCUGUGCUGCCAUGGACAGCAGCGCCAGACCUUCCAAAGAUGCCAUCAGAGAGCACUGGUCCAACUCCAGUUCUUCUCACACAGAGCCAGUGGCUUUGCUUUUAAUUGGAAGAAAAACAGCACUGCAGUAUUACGCUGUAGAUUACUCAGCUUUAAUGAAAGCAGAUUAUGAAACAGAAUCACUAUACUGGCAUAAUAAAAGAUAUUAACUGAGGAAAAUGACCCUGCAGGAUAUACUAAUUCUCACUCACUGUUUCACACUGCCAGUUUCUUUUCCUCACUCUUUCUGUAUGAUUAGAUAGCUUCUGUAGCAUAUGCUGGAGAUAACAGAAUGAUUUUGGACCAUUUAAAACCAGUGGGUUUUUAAUCUUCUUAGCCUAUGAAGAAAAAACUUCAAUGUGUAAAGCAAGUGAACCUGAACUACACAGAACUGAAAUACAGAAAUCAGCACGUGCCACUUUGAAAUACAUCUCAUGAUUUCAGGAGCUUGAAUUCUGCAUUCAAGGAGUCAGUAACACUGGAGAUCCCAUAACCUUUCUUCACUGUUCCUUCCUCUGGUCUCCAUACAUGUGUGGUAAUGGCAGCAUCCUCAAACAAAGCUUUUCUUCCAUCCUGGAAGGCACCCACCUAUAGAAGAGGAAAGUUUCUGUCUUUACCUUCUUGCAUUACCUCAAAUAAAUGGUUGCAUUCAAACUUGUAAUAUCAAUAUUAAAAGAUCUAAUUCAAUCUCACAGGAGAUUCUUACAGAUUAAUAGUCUUCUCUGUGAACACAUAUAUUGGCAUUGGGCCCAAAGGAAAUGCUGUGAUGAACCUCUUCUUAUGUUUCCAUAAGCAGUUUAAGUUUACUCACUGGUAAAUGCAGGUGAAGACUUUUGUCCAGAAUGCUCUCUUCCACAACACACAUGACUGACAGCUCUGAAGUGCAUGAUCUGUCACAACAAACCUAAAUCACAGCUGUUUGAUGGAUAAGCUGGGACACACAAGUGGAACCUCACCCAAGAGCAAGGUUAUAACAACAGCAUGUCAGUGCAUGUUGUGGAGGAGCAGUUGGGUGCUUGGAUCCUCAUAAAAGUCAUGGCAUACGGAUCUCCAACUCUUCUUUGUGGCAGUUGCCUCAAUGUUCCUGCAGACACAGGCUGGGAUGUUGUACCUUCACCCUGAGCUCCCCUAGACUGGCCAGCAGCCCAUCCAACCUACCCAGGCCCAUCACAUAGAAAGUCAGCUGUUUGCCCACAGGACUCAACUGGGAAUCUGCAAAGCUACCACAAUAUUUGCUGCACAGGGAAUUUCACAGCACUAUGCUGCAGAAGUUCAAGAACAAACCAGCAAAGCCGAAUAAGGUCAGAGAACUGAACCCUUUGAGGCAACUCUGCUAAGAUACAGGAUGAAAUUGGACCGAUGAAGGAGGCGGCAGGUUUGCAGGCUGUACUUUCUGAAGACCCAGGAAGGUGGCUGCUCCAUGGCAUGCAUAGCAUAUACAGAUGUCUGAAGACCAAUAGAAGACCAGCUGGUGGGAGGCAGGAUUCUGAAGAUGACUUUUCCACUAAUGCCAUGGACACAAUACUAGAAAGAUGUAGGAAGACUGAUGUUUGGAAAAGUGAUGGAAUUCAAAAAUAACUUUGGAUUCUCUGACCUGCUUCCCUAAUGCACGCUGCUGUAAGUCCAGGGUGGGUAGAAAGUGCGAUUCACAGAGCAGGAAAAGUGGAGCCAUGUCCUGAAGCUUCAUGGCACUGAUCAUGACUUCUCAGCCAAGCACUCCUGUUGCUGGAGCUGUCUCCUCCUCUACCAACCUGCUAAGCCUGGUGAGAGAAUGCAUCAGGCCCAUCUGCCUAAGAACAAAGAAUAAAUCUAUGGCUUAAACAUGUCUCUCUCUUGCUUGCUGACUAUUUCUAUCAUAAUUUAUUCAUUUUUCUGCUUUCCAGCUCCCUCUGAUCAGAGGGAGAUGCUUGCACCAUUUGUUAUUAAUGUUUUUCCCAUCCAUUCUGGUUGCCACAAUAGCUUCAUCAUCAACAGGCUUGAAGUAUGAACAAUUAGAUCACGAUUUUCUUUAAGUAUGUACCAGAUAUCACAAAAAUCCAGCUGUAUGAACAAAGUAAAGAAUCAUCUUUGAGAACAAAUGCUGUUUGCAAUCUUACAAUUUGCAGACUAAAAAUUAAAUGCCUAUUUUUAUCCUCCCUUUUCUGCCAGACACUAACUAAAUUUGUCAAAGCAUGCUUAGGAUUAAAGUUUUAUUGAUUUUAUUUUUUUAAGGCAAACUUAAAAUAUGGCACAUAAAGUUUUCAUAGCUGCAUUAGACUGCAGAAGACAUUGUGACCCAGAUUUCGACUCCUGCUGCCUCCAGUUCACCUGCCAAGGGCUCCUCAUCUCAAUCACAGUGACAGUCUUCAAUCCACUGUACCUACCUGGCUCACAGUUUGGUUGGGGCCACCACCUUCUAGUGCAAAGGGUUCCUUAAGGGAAGGAAGGAAAAGUGUGAGAGAUGGAACCUGAGAGAAACAUCUAUGAGCAAGAAGAAUGUCACCUGGUAGUGGGCAUCACCCAGAGGUUAACGCAGAUGGUCAUCAGCCUGGGAUCAGGUUGGGAAAGUUCGUUUAUUCACCAUUCACUCUGAAAGGCUUCUGUCAGGUUAAUCUAUGCUGCAGUAUUGUUUUUAUUCCUAGGUUUGAGAGGUGACUUAAAGCCUUUUUUUUACAUUGCAUUUCCACUAGCUUUGCCUUUUCUGUGAGUUGUCUUCCAUUUCCUUCUUAGCAUUUACCAUAUGCAAAUCCACAGUUUUGAGAUGAGAGGAAAAGCAGAAAUAUUUUAGGAGGUACUGUUUUCACAAGUGCCCUUGAUAAACUGCUUUCUGAUGUCGUUACCCACAAGCUAUCCGUGAGUUUCUAAUCUCAUUCUCCUGAACUCAAGAGAGUCCCAUGUUCUUCAGCUAACUAGACUGAACCAGCACAAAUUUUUUACUGUUUUCUGAAAUUGCUCAUUAGUGUUCACUAACUGAAAUGUUCCUUGAGUUACCAGUAGAGGCUUAGAUACCUGGUUUUGUAAAAUUUUGUAAUAUUUUAAUUUACUAGUAAAGGGACAGAAUUCAAAUGUUAACUUUUUAUCUGCGUUGCAGGCGUCGAAGGAGGAGGUUCUGGAGUCUUAUAUUGUGUACUUCACUGAAUGCAGCUGAAUUCCAGAAACUUCUGUAAGGAAUGUUUCUGCCCUACUCCCGGUGCCUGCUGGUCCAAGGACUGUUGGCUGGAUAACAAACUAUAAAGGAAAAUAAUCCCAUUGGAGGAUGUUAUCUUUUAAGCAGAAACCAUCAUGGACCAGACAGCUGGCCUUUGAAACCUCCAUUACACAAAGUUUUUGUUUCAGCUACGUACUCUCCCCUCCCCCCAGAAAGCUUUGGAAAGAAAUGAAAGAAAAAAAAAUCCUGGUAAUCCUGGUUUCCUCUAUUUCCUAUUCUGGAUGUAUUCUCAACAUGAAUGAAAUCAGGUCGUGUAUUCGAUAUGGCACACGUGCACUAUUUAUGGUCUGCAAUCAAGCUGAAAGCUGUGAAGUUCAGUGCCACUACCUAUCAUGAAGUCAAACUCUGAGGCUAAAUAACUUCAUAUCCUCAAAUUUUGUAUCCACCAUAUAUUCAUGCUUUAGAGAGUAAAUGCCUCAACUGAAGGCUCCACUGUAAUUUGUUUGGAGUGCUGACCUUUCUUUGAAGUAUUACUAGUAUUUGUCACCUUUGUAUUCAUCAUAGUAGAUGAGAUUUGCCACUCCUUGUUGCCUGUGUUAUCAAAUUGCUUAGCUUAAAUAUUUAAAUGCAAAAUGGCUUUGCAUUUUUACUGACAUACACGGUAACUGAGAGAUGCGGCUUUGCGGUGCAGCAGAGGAAAAUACUUAUGAAGCUGAUGACUCACUGAGAUUUCUUGUACAGUCUUGGUAUAUUAAUGUACAACAUGAGAAUUCCAACCAGAUACUACAUUGAAUCACUGAUUAAGAACCAGGAGAGAAACAUUUUCACUUACCACCCGGAGAGCUAUAGGGCUGAGGGAUUCCACUGGACCA